AUUGAACGCUGGCGGCAUGCUUUACACAUGCAAGUCGAACGGUAACAGGUUAAGCUGACGAGUGGCGAACGGGUGGGUAAUGCAUCGGAACGUGCCCGGUCGUGGGGGAUAACGCAGCGAAAGCUGCGCUAAUACCGCAUACGAUCUGAGGAUGAAAGCGGGGGACCGUAAGGCCUCGCGCGAUCGGAGCGGCCGAUGUCAGAUUAGGUAGUUGGUGGGGUAAAGGCUCACCAAGCCAACGAUCUGUAGCUGGUCUGAGAGGACGACCAGCCACACUGGGACUGAGACACGGCCCAGACUCCUACGGGAGGCAGCAGUGGGGAAUUUUGGACAAUGGGCGAAAGCCUGAUCCAGCAAUGCCGCGUGCAGGAAGAAGGCCUUCGGGUUGUAAACUGCUUUUGUACGGAGCGAGAAGGUCUCCUCUAAUACAGGGGGCUCAUGACGGUACCGUAAGAAUAAGCACCGGCUAACUACGUGCCAGCAGCCGCCGCCG
rnacentral:rRNA from 1 species